GCCUACAGUAGCAACAAUUUGUCUUUCAACUCGACAACCAAAGUGAAAAAACUUGGAAGAAGCUUUACUUGCAGCUAAAAUAAUGAACAAGAUGGUGUAUCUCGGAUGUUUGGCUCUUGCCUCAUGUAUUGGUAUGGCUCUGGGUUAUGGAAGUGUUAUGACCGGGCACAAACAGUUCGCAGCAUACCCUAACAUGGGUUAUGGGUACGUUCCCUACAUGGCGGGAACUUCAGGAUUCGGAGGUUUUCUUGGCGGUGCUGGAGGAUCGACUGGUGGCAUGGGAGGAAUCUUUGGAAACAUAAUGCAGUUGUUUAUGUUUAUCUUGGUGAUCAACAUCUUGUUCUCGAGCACUGGUCUCGGCUCUGGUGGUCUCAAUAUUGGCAGGAAACCCUCACACCAUGCCUCUGACUACGGCUUCUACUGAAUAAAGAAAAAGACCGAUGAUAUUCAGUUCUUCAACCAGAACAAAUGUUGGCACCAAAGGCGAAUUCAUCUGUGAUCUGAAAUUGUGUUUCUUAAUUAAAAAAGAAAUAAAAAUAGCAAAACA